rnacentral:sRNA from 1 species
CAUGAAGUAAGUGGGUUCGUGGGGGUGAUUGCCUGUGGCUGGGACCUGGGAGGUACCUGAGAGAAUUGGGGUUAUUUGGGCUUGUGGGGAGGGGCUAAGAAAUUAUCAGAAAAGACAGGAAUUCUUAAAAGGUGGAAUGGGAGCAGGCUUGAGUCAUGGACCUGCCCGAGCCCCCCCCAGUUUGUGGCCCUGAUAGGUGCCCUCCUUGCCAUCUGCUGCAUGAUCUUCCUGGGCUUUGCGGAUGAUGUACUGAAUCUGCGCUGGCGCCAUAAACUGCUGCUACCUACAGCUGCCUCACUACCUCUCCUCAUGGUCUAUUUCACCAACUUUGGCAACACGACCAUUGUGGUGCCCAAGCCCUUCCGCCCGAUACUUGGCCUGCAUCUGGACUUGGGAAUCCUGUACUAUGUCUACAUGGGGCUGCUGGCAGUGUUCUGUACCAAUGCCAUCAAUAUCCUAGCAGGAAUUAACGGCCUAGAGGCUGGCCAGUCACUAGUCAUUUCUGCUUCCAUCAUUGUCUUCAACCUGGUAGAGUUGGAAGGUGAUUGUCGGGAUGAUCAUGUCUUUUCCCUCUACUUCAUGAUACCCUUUUUUUUCACCACUUUGGGAUUGCUCUACCACAACUGGUACCCAUCACGGGUGUUUGUGGGAGAUACCUUCUGUUACUUUGCUGGCAUGACCUUUGCCGUGGUGGGCAUCUUGGGACACUU